UACAGAGGGGGCCAGCGUUAUUCGGAAUUACUGGGCGUAAAGGGCUCGUAGGCGGCCUGUUAAGUCGAACGUGAAAUCCCCGGGCUCAACCCGGGAACUGCGUCCGAUACUGGCAGGCUUGAAUUCGGGAGAGGGAUGUGGAAUUCCAGGUGUAGCGGUGAAAUGCGUAGAUAUCUGGAGGAACACCGGUGGCGAAGGCGGCAUCCUGGACCGAUAUUGACGCUGAUGCGCGAAAGCCAGGGGAGCAAACGGG
rnacentral:rRNA from 1 species